rnacentral:rRNA from 1 species
GACGAACGCUGGCGGCGUGCUUAACACAUGCAAGUCGAACGGUAAGGCCCUUCGGGGUACACGAGUGGCGAACGGGUGAGUAACACGUGGGUGAUCUGCCCUGCACUUCGGGAUAAGCCUGGGAAACUGGGUCUAAUCCCGGAAGGGACCACUGCCUGCAUGGGGGUGGGUGGAAAGCUUUUGGGGGGUGGGAUGGGCCCGCGGCCUAUCAGCUUGUUGGGGGGGUGAUGGCCUACCAAGGCGACGACGGGUAGCCGGCCUGAGAGGGUGACCGGCCACACUGGGACUGAGAUACGGCCCAGACUCCUACGGGAGGCAGCAGUGGGGAAUAUUGCACAAUGGGCGCAAGCCUGAUGCAGCGACGCCGCGUGAGGGAUGACGGCCUUCGGGUUGUAAACCUCUUUCAGCACCGACGAAGCGCAAGUGACGGUAGGUGCAGAAGAAGGACCGGCCAACUACGUGCCAGCAGCCGCAGUAA